UGGGGAAUCUUGGACAAUGGGCGCAAGCCUGAUCCAGCCAUGCCGCGUGAGUGAAGAAGGCCUUCGGGUUGUAAAGCUCUUUUGUUCAGGGACGAUAAUGACGGUACCUGAAGAAUAAGCCCCGGCAAACUUCGUGCCAGCAGCCGCGGUAAUACGAAGGGAGCUAGCGUUGUUCGGAAUCACUGGGCGUAAAGCGCACGUAGGCGGAUAGUUAAGUCAGGGGUGAAAUCCUGGGGCUCAACCCCAGAACUGCCUUUGAUACUGGCUGUCUCGAGGUCGAGAGAGGUUGGUGGAAUUCCUAGUGUAGAGGUGAAAUUCGUAGAUAUUAGGAAGAACACCAGUGGCGAAGGCGGCCAACUGGCUCGAUACUGACGCUGAGGUGCGAAAGCGUGGGGAGCAAACAGGAUUAGAUACCCACGUAGUCCCUGAGCGGGCUGGCAAGGCGCAU
rnacentral:rRNA from 1 species